AAAUUGAAGAGUUUGAUCAUGGCUCAGAUUGAACGCUGGCGGCAGGCCUAACACAUGCAAGUCGAACGGUAACAGGAAGAAGCUUGCUUCUUUGCUGACGAGUGGCGGACGGGUGAGUAAUGUCUGGGAAACUGCCUGAUGGAGGGGGAUAACUACUGGAAACGGUAGCUAAUACCGCAUAACGUCGCAAGACCAAAGAGGGGGACCUUCGGGCCUCUUGCCAUCGGAUGUGCCCAGAUGGGAUUAGCUAGUAGGUGGGGUAACGGCUCACCUAGGCGACGAUCCUAGCUGGUCUGAGAGGAUGACCAGCCACACUGGAACUGAGACACGGUCCAGACUCCUACGGGAGGCAGCAGUGGGGAAUAUUGCACAAUGGGCGCAAGCCUGAUGCAGCCAUGCCGCGUGUAUGAAGAAGGCCUUCGGGUUGUAAAGUACUUUCAGCGGGGAGGAAGGGAGUAAAGUUAAUACCUUUGCUCAUUGACGUUACCCGCAGAAGAAGCACCGGCUAACUCCGUGCCAGCAGCCGCGGUAAUACGGAGGGUGCAAGCGUUAAUCGGAAUUACUGGGCGUAAAGCGCACGCAGGCGGUUUGUUAAGUCAGAUGUGAAAUCCCCGGGCUCAACCUGGGAACUGCAUCUGAUACUGGCAAGCUUGAGUCUCGUAGAGGGGGGUAGAAUUCCAGGUGUAGCGGUGAAAUGCGUAGAGAUCUGGAGGAAUACCGGUGGCGAAGGCGGCCCCCUGGACGAAGACUGACGCUCAGGUGCGAAAGCGUGGGGAGCAAACAGGAUUAGAUACCCUGGUAGUCCACGCCGUAAACGAUGUCGACUUGGAGGUUGUGCCCUUGAGGCGUGGCUUCCGGAGCUAACGCGUUAAGUCGACCGCCUGGGGAGUACGGCCGCAAGGUUAAAACUCAAAUGAAUUGACGGGGGCCCGCACAAGCGGUGGAGCAUGUGGUUUAAUUCGAUGCAACGCGAAGAACCUUACCUGGUCUUGACAUCCACGGAAGUUUUCAGAGAUGAGAAUGUGCCUUCGGGAACCGUGAGACAGGUGCUGCAUGGCUGUCGUCAGCUCGUGUUGUGAAAUGUUGGGUUAAGUCCCGCAACGAGCGCAACCCUUAUCCUUUGUUGCCAGCGGUCCGGCCGGGAACUCAAAGGAGACUGCCAGUGAUAAACUGGAGGAAGGUGGGGAUGACGUCAAGUCAUCAUGGCCCUUACGACCAGGGCUACACACGUGCUACAAUGGCGCAUACAAAGAGAAGCGACCUCGCGAGAGCAAGCGGACCUCAUAAAGUGCGUCGUAGUCCGGAUUGGAGUCUGCAACUCGACUCCAUGAAGUCGGAAUCGCUAGUAAUCGUGGAUCAGAAUGCCACGGUGAAUACGUUCCCGGGCCUUGUACACACCGCCCGUCACACCAUGGGAGUGGGUUGCAAAAGAAGUAGGUAGCUUAACCUUCGGGAGGGCGCUUACCACUUUGUGAUUCAUGACUGGGGUGAAGUCGUAACAAGGUAACCGUAGGGGAACCUGCGGUUGGAUCACCUCCUUACCUUAAAGAA
rnacentral:rRNA from 1 species